AGCAGUAUGGUGUAAUGUUGCACACGGGAUUUUCUUAAGUGAGAACAAUGAUUGAUCCCAAGGUCCUUGUUCGAACCAAGGUACUGCUC